ensembl:lncRNA
GGCACAUAGAAACCCACUCAGCUGUGAAGCUAGAUAAGUAGUGAAGGAAGUUAUGAAGCUGCACCGUGAGAACCGGCUUUCUCAAGUAGAACUUAAUUCCUCCUUACCUUUUGCACCGAGGUGAUGGCCCACUCCCAGCCCUCCAUCCCUGCUCUGUUUUCCUUCUUUCUUCACCAUCUUCAGCAUCAGAGAACCCAGAAAGUUUGGUUAGCUACAUGCAAGCGCAGGGGCAGGAACAGAGGUGAAGGAGCCUUUCUUCUACCCACAGAUGGUCCAAGCUGCUAGAGAAGAAAGGAGUGGGAAGAGAAAUCAAGAUGUGUCCUCUGAUUCCAUCCCACACGAUUUGCUUAUUCAAUGUAUUGAUUACAUAAAAUUACACAUGACACAAAUGCCUGGCAGUGGGACUUUAAUUGUGAGCAGAGGAAACACCCUAUGUGAUGUAGGAAAAAAAUUUGAGAUUCAAAGUCAAAGACCAAAGUUCUACUUCUGGCUCCUCUACCUAGAAGCUGGAAAAAUACUCUGGCAGCCUCAAUACUUCAUCUAUAAAGGUAGUAAGAUUAUGCAGCUUCAUCCACCUCCACAUUCAUCCACCUUCCUCAACCUCCUCCACAACCUCCCCAAAGUGGCUUUGGAGGCCAAAGAUGCAAUGGAAUGAGUGAGAAACAGAAAAGCUCUGGUUUCAUGCUGAUGGGGAUAACAGCCCAAAAAGAAGAAAAAGAAAGAAAAUAAGAAAAGAAAAG